GAGUCGGGGGGCCGUCAGGCUGAGAUCACGGCUGUAAACAGCGUGGAACCCGUUGAACCUGAUCCAGUUAACACUGGCGUAGGGAACUG
rnacentral:ncRNA from 1 species